AUUGAACGCUGGCGGCAUGCUUUACACAUGCAAGUCGAACGGCAGCACGGACUUCGGUCUGGUGGCGAGUGGCGAACGGGUGAGUAAUACAUCGGAACGUACCGCGUAGUGGGGGACAACAAGUCGAAAGAUUUGCUAAUACCGCAUACACUCCGAGGAGAAAAGCAGGGGAGCUUAGGGCCUUGUGCUCUGCGGGCGGCCGAUGGCUGAUUAGCUAGUUGGUGGGGUAAAGGCCUACCAAGGCAACGAUCAGUAGCGGGUCUUAGAGGACGAUCCGCCACACUGGAACUGAGACACGGUCCGGACUCCUACGGGAGGCAGCAGUGGGGAAUCUUGGACAAUGGGCGCAAGCCUGAUCCAGCAAUGCCGCGUGCGUGAAGAAGGCCUUCGGGUUGUAAAGCGCUUUUGUCAGGGAGCAAAGACUGAUGGCUAAUAUCCAUCGGAGUUGAGAGUACCUGAAGAAUAAGGACCGGCUAACUACGUGCCAGCAGCCGCCGUAAAAC
rnacentral:rRNA from 1 species